rnacentral:rRNA from 1 species
UUUUAUGAGAGUUUGAUCCUGGCUCAGGACGAACGCUGGCGGCGUGCCUAAUACAUGCAAGUCGAACGCUUCUUUUUCCACCGGAGCUUGCUCCACCGGAAAAAGAGGAGUGGCGAACGGGUGAGUAACACGUGGGUAACCUGCCCAUCAGAAGGGGAUAACACUUGGAAACAGGUGCUAAUACCGUAUAACAAUCAAAACC